rnacentral:rRNA from 1 species
UACGUAGGCAGCAAGCGUUGUUCGGAAUUACUGGGCGUAAAGAGUGCGUAGGCUGUUUGUUAAGUUCGGUGUGAAAUCUCCUGGCUCAACUGGGAGGGUGCGCCGGAAACUGGCAGGCUAGAGUGUGGGAUAGGGAAGUGGAAUUCCUGGUGUAGCGGUGAAAUGCGUAGAUAUCAGGAGGAACACCGGUGGUGAAGACGGCUUCCUGGACCAUAACUGACGCUGAGGCACGAAAGCGUGGGGAGCAAACAGGAUUAGAUACCCCCGUAGUCC